rnacentral:rRNA from 1 species
AUUGAACGCUGGCGGCAGGCCUAACACAUGCAAGUCGAGCGGCAGCGGGAGAAAGCUUGCUUUCUUGCCGGCGAGCGGCGGACGGGUGAGUAAGGUAUGGGGAUCUGGCCGAAGGCGGGGGAUAACCACUGGAAACGGUGGCUAAUACCGCAUAAUCUCUAAGGAGCAAAGUGGGGGACCUUCUGGCCUCACACCUUCGGAUGAACCCAUAUGAGAUUAGCUAGUAGGUGGGGUAAAGGCUCACCUAGGCGACGAUCUCUAGCUGGUCUGAGAGGAUCAUCAGCCACACUGGGACUGAGACACGGCCCAGACUCAUACGGGAGGCAGCAGUGGGGAAUAUUGCACAAUGGGCGCAAGCCUGAUGCAGCCAUGCCGCGUGUAUGAAGAAGGCCUUCGGGUUGUAAAGUACUUUCAGUCGUGAGGAAGGUGUUAAGGUUAAUAGUCUUAGCAAUUGACGUUAGCGACAGAAGAAGCACCGGCUAACUCCGUGCCAGCCGCCGCCGUAA